CUUAAUAUAUUAAAGAAAUUAUUUAAGUUUUAUAAAAUUGUAAAAAAUGAAAUUUAAACAGGGUGAAGUUAUAAUAUUAAUCAAUAUACCUGUAAUUAUAGAUAAUUAAUUUGCCCGAUUGACCUAUAUGCAUUUUUCUUUUUUCGUGUAACCAGAUAUAACUGGAAAAUGAUAUAAUUUAAAGAAAAAAAAAAAUAAAUUCAAACAGAUAGAUUGUGCUCACUCAACUAAAACUAAUAAUUAUUCCAUUGACAACUUAUAACUAUGUACAUGUUCCACUUUCCAUCUCAUUUGAAAGUCAUAGGACAAAGUCUUCAAAAAAUGUACGGUUAUUUAAUAUGGCAUACAGAUCAUAGAACAGAGUCCGAAUCCAGGUUGAUCAGUUCAAUUUGAUAUUACAUAUUCAAAACUAGACUCAACUGGACUAACAGUACAGAGUACAUCCUGUUUGUUUAAAUAAAAAAGAGUAUUAUCUCUUAUAAUUAAGUUAACCUUUGUCAAUGAUCUUCAAAUCACUUUUCAAUUUUUUUUUUUUUGCAAAAAGUCAGAGGCGAGUUGUGCGAGACGAACACGGAAUUUUUUUUAAAUUCAGAAAUAUUCCAUAAUUAAAAUAGCAUUUCGUUUAAUUUAGAAAUGGUUAUUAUAAAUAAUUUUUCAUAUUUUAUUAAUUGUUUAAAUAAAUAAUUUAUGUAUAAACAAUUUGUACAUACGUUGUAUAUACGUUUAAUAGUUAAUAAAUUGAUUAUUAUUGUUAAAUUUUAAA